rnacentral:rRNA from 1 species
UGGGGAAUAUUGCACAAUGGGGGGAACCCUGAUGCAGCGACGCCGCGUGAGCGAAGAAGUACCUCGGUAUGUAAAGCUCUAUCAGCAGGGAAGAAAAUGGACGGUACCUGACUAAGAAGCCCCGGCUAAAUACGUGCCAGCAGCCGCGGUAAUACGUAUGGGGCAAGCGUUAUCCGGAUUUACUGGGUGUAAAGGGAGCGCAGGCGGCGCGCCAAGUCUGGUGUGAAAUACCGGGGCCCAACCCCGGGGCUGCAUUGGAAACUGGCGUGCUGGAGUGUCGGAGGGGCAGGCGGAAUUCCUGGUGUAGCGGUGAAAUGCGUAGAUAUCAGGAGGAACACCGGUGGCGAAGGCGGCCUGCUGGACGACGACUGACGCUGAGGCUCGAAAGCGUGGGGAGCAAACAGG